rnacentral:rRNA from 1 species
GACGAAGGAUGCAAGCGUUAUCCGGAUUCAUUGGGUUUAAAGGGAGCGUAGGUGGCCUUAUAAGUCAGUGGUGAAAUCUCUGGGCUUAACCCAGAAAUUGCCAUUGAUACUGUAGGGCUUGAGUACAGUUGCUGUGGGCGGAAUAUGACAUGUAGUGGUGAAAUACAUAGAGAUGUCGUAGAACACCGAUUGCGAAGGCAGCUCACAAAAACUGUAACUGACACUGAGGCUCGAAAAGUGCGGGGGAUCAAACAGG